GUGCUUGCUUCAGCAGCACAUAUACUAAAAUUGGAACGAUGCAGAGAAGAUUAGCAUGGUCCCUGAAGAUUUAAAACAAACAAAAGGCUUAGGAAGUAUUCCUUCUUUUG
ensembl:snRNA U6 U6 spliceosomal RNA